CUUUCACUCAGUCACCCCAAAAAUCCCCAAAUCUCCAUUCAAUUCUUUAAAUCCCAGUGAUGAAGGAGUCCGCCGUACCACCUGUGGUGUUUCCCUCGGGCAGAAAUCCCAGUGCCAGAUCCAACAACAUCCAGUAACACCGGAUGGCGACUGCGCCAUUUCAACCGCCUCGAUCCUCCACCUCCAGCAUCUCCUUGAUGACCUUCGACAUUGGCUCCGCUGCCGCCUCCUCCUCCUCCGGGAGAAUUGAAGGAACUUGUUUCACAGGGGUAAGAGUCCUUUCACAAGGUUAUAAAAUUUACUCACACUGAUUCGCGUCUCUCUAAUAAUGGACUUGCAAGUUCCAUCCAAAGGCUGAGGUGCCAUGCCAAUUAUGAAGGUCUCUAAUAUACAAAGAACAAUGGGAUCCAUAUAUUGCUCUUCAUUUAAGGAGAUUUCAAUUGCAACUAAUGUAGCCCAGAAGGAAAUUGGUAAGUACAUCAAGAUACUUGGAGAAGCCCUUCAGCUAAUUAAGUCAUCAACAACAAUUCUAUUUUGGUCCAUAUGCCGAGGUUUUGCUUAGGUAGAUGCCAAAGUAGGAGGGUUUGAAGCCAAUACGUUGCAUCUGCAAGUGGGAACCGAAGUGUUGUGGAGAUCCUCUUUCCUUUAUCUGUUUUGGUAUUUUAGUAUGUUUUUGGCCUUUAGGUAUAUAUAGGCAUGGUUAGUGUGCAUUAUGGACAAGUUUAUGUUUUUGGCCUUCAGGUAUAUAGGCAGGGUUAGUAUGUAUUGAUAUUUGGAUGAACAUA